AAGCAUAUCAAUAAGCGGAGGAAAAGAAACCAACAGGGAUUGCCUCAGUAAUGGCGAAUGAACAGGCAAAAGCUCAGAUUUGAAACCCUCGGGAUUGUAGUCUGAAGAUCUGGAUUUGGACGCUGACCAAGUCUCCUGGAACGGAGCGCCAUGGAGGGUGACAGCCCCGUAGCAGCACCGUAGUAAAUCCGGAUCAACGAGUCGAGUUGUUUGGGAAUGCAGCUCUAAGUGGGUGGUAUGCUCCAUCUAAGGCUAAAUAUUGGCGAGAGACCGAUAGCGAACAAGUACUGUGAAGGAAAGAUGAAAAGAACUUUGAAAAGAGAGUGAAAUAGUACGUGAAAUUGUUGAAAUGGAAGGCAAUGAGGCGCGAUUGACGCGGACGCGCGGGGGCAGGACAAAAGCGCAGGCCGCUUCGGCAUUGCCUGCGUGCAUACUGCCACCUGGGCUACCGUGUCUAACAACGCCUUAUUGCACCCGUCUUGAAACACGGACC
rnacentral:rRNA from 1 species